CCCUUAGAUGUUCUGGGCCGCACGCGCGCUACACUGAUGCAUUCAACGAGUCUAAAACCUGGUCUGAGAGGGCUGGGUAAUCUUUUGAAAGUGCAUCGUGAUUGGGAUAGAUGAUUGCAAUUCUUCAUCUUCAACGAGGAAUGCCUAGUAAACGCAAGUCAUCAGCUUGCAUUGAUUACGUCCCUGCCCUUUGUACACACCGCCCGUCGCUCCUACCGAUUGAGUGGUCCGGUGAGGCUUUGGGAUCUGAGCGGAAAGAGCGUUUCGCUGUUUCUGCUCGGAAAACUCAGUCGAACCUUAUCAUUUAGAGGAAGGAGAAGUCGUAACA
rnacentral:rRNA from 1 species